ACAAAAAAAUAAGAAUAAAAUUGAAUAUGAUUGUCUGAUUUAUGCUUUCAGUUUGUUUUUUGUAAAAAAAUAAUUUAAAAAAACACUUAAGUCUUAUUAUUGCCAUUGUUAUGACAAUUGCUCAUAUACUGUAAAUCUAAAUAAGUAUAUUUAUAAUUUUUUUAACAACAGUUAAAUGUUGUUUGACAAGUUUCAAAAAGUGCCCGCAAUUUCUUUUUAAAUGCCCCUGGAUGAAGUCAGAGGGGAAAAUUACCCCCUUAAAAAUAUGUUAAUGUUCUACCCUGUCGUUCUGUUGUUGCGAUACACCUUUCUCUGAUAUCUUUCCUCUGUGUUUGCUUAGUUAUGUUCUUGGAGGAGGUGCCCUGUGCAUGGAACUUCUCACCAAACAGGGUUGGAGCAGUGCCUAUUCCAUUGAGUCUGUCAUCAUGCAGAUCAAUGCCACUUUAGUCAAAGGAAAAGCCAGAGUGCAGUUUGGAGCCAACAAGAACCAGUACAAUCUCGCCAGAGCGCAGCAGUCCUACAAAUCCCUGGUUCAGAUCCACGAAAAGAACGGCUGGUACACCCCCCCGAAGGAAGACGGCUAAAAACGGACCGGAGCUCCUCCUCCACUGGGACCACGCGUCUUCAAUUUCUCUCUUUUUUUCUUUUUUCUCUCCUUGCGACCAAUAUAUAUAUAUAUUUUUUAUCCUGCAAACCGUUUUGGCUCACACACACACACACACACACACGAGAGUUUGAACUCCAAACCAAAUUCCUCCCAGAAACACACACACACACACACACACACGCGCCUCUCUGACAUCUCCAUCCACGCUCAUCAGCUCCUCUCCUCAAUAUUUAUCUCUGUACACCUUGUUGCCCGAUUCAAUCUCUUACUUUCUCUCCAUCGCGACGUUCAUCCCACCCUCCAGGACUAAAUACCGCCGCCCCCCCCCCCCUUUUUUUUUUGCUGUGGUUUUGGCGUUUCCACGGUUACUUGCUGGCCGUGUGAGUCGGAAGGUGCAGUGUGCAUCUUUUUCUCCUCUCUCUCUCCGAUGGACGUCCUGUGAUAUUGUGCCCGUGUGUUAUCUUUGCAAUGCCCAGAUCCCUCCUACUCCCUCCUCCCUCCUCUCCGGGGAUCAACACGCUCCUGGGGGGGGGGGGGGGGGGCCGAGCUCGCUUUUCAAAAUCUCCUUUCCCCCCCCUUUGUUUUAAAGCUUGAAGCUCUUGAGGUGGGGAGGAAGAUCAAAGAGACUUUUGCAGCACAUGAUGAAGAGCAGCAUCUUGCAGGCCACCGUCAUCAUCAUCAUCACAACCAGCAGCUGGACACCCCCCCCUCCCUGCAGGAGAGGCUCGGUGUGUGUCGGCAACCUCAAGAAACCAGGCGAGGCGGUGUGUUGGGGGGGGGGGUGUUUGGAUCUCACUGUAAUGUCGUUUGAUUUUAACUUCACGUGUAAAACAUGUAAAUUUGUAUUUCUGCAAAAAAAAGGAUUUAAUUGUUUAUAAUGUAAACCUUGUUCCGGUGUCUUUGGACCGGGGGCAAUGACUGUAUUACUAUAUCUACCCUUGACUAUUAACAGCAGGGGGCACUGCAACUCCUCCUCGAGACCCCCCCCACACACACACACACACACACACACACACACACACACACACAUCUAGAAUAAGAACAACGUUGCUUCGUGGAUGCUCUUGCAGUAGGAAAACAAAAAAUAAGUACACCGUGAUGAUCUUAUGUACGCUUAAUGACUACUGCGGGAUUUUUUGUUUGUUUAAAAAAAUAUAUAUUACAUUGAUUUGUAAACAUCGACGGCGCCAUUCCCUUUUCUUUUCUUUUCUUUUUUCCCGACGGCACCUGUUAUUUACGACGAUGGCGUGGUCGGCUCCUCGUGUCGCUCAAACCGGACGACGCGGCGGACGAGCUCGUUCACAUCCUGGAGUCAUACCAGUUAAGGGGGGGGAGGGGAGGGGGGGGGGGGGGUGACCUUUUAACCUUCUGACUGUUCCUCGACCUCACCACGGCCGCAGCCCCGAGUUUAAAGCGAUUAUAAUUCACAGCAAUAGUCUCCACCGUGUAAACCUCCUUCUGGCGUCGGGCCGACGGGCCGGGGGCCGGAUCCACCUCUGGAACAUCAAGUUGAAGGUUUUCCACCAAAAAAAAUUAUUUGUUCUGUUUUUGUAUUUAAACUUACCCACCGGCUCCGGUUACUAUUCAUAACCACUCUCUCUCUCCUCGGCGCCGCCCGGGGGGGUGGGGGGGAGGGGGGGUCUGUUUCGAUGUAAUGUGAAUAAUAUGCAGACAAACUGAGUGUGUGUGUGUGUGUGUGUGUGGAGCGUCCUGUCGUGGGUGUUCUGUCGUGUUACUCGCAUUGUUUUUAAGUAUCUUGUCCUGAAAACCAGCAGAGAGAAGCUCAGCUACGCUAAAUUCAUGAAGUCAUUCCGCCGUUUAUUUUUUCUUCCUCUUCUUCUUCUGAAGUUUUUCCUCAAGGUGACGCCGACCUCAAGUCACAGCACAACCAAUAUUUCCAAAAACCGGUUCAUCCUCCAGCACGUGCGCGCGUGUGUGUGUGUGUGUGUGUGUGUUUUUUCGACUUGCGUCCAUAUCGAGGGUCGAAUGCCCCUCCCUCCUUCCCCACGCCCCUUCCUCCUCCUCCCUCCUCUUCCUCCCGCCACCACGACUCAUCGGCAUGGUUGUUAGCUGUUGUGUUGCCAUGGGUGACGUACUGAUCACUUCAUUCCGGUCACUUUUUUUUCGCUUUUGUUCUCGUGUUGGGUGGAGCCCGCCGCUGCAUCUCUGGAGAAGCAAACUCAGGAACGCAUCCCGCCACUCGACGACGUCGCUGAGGAUUCGGAAAAUAUCGUCGCGAAGUGUCAGUCUUCUUCUUUUUUUUUCUUUCUUUGGGGGAGGGGAGGGGGCAUUUUAACGAGACGCGCGUCUGUUUUACCAAAAGGCUUCGCCGUGCGCUUUGCUGUCGAAUUCUGAAAGAAAAGGGGGGAAAAAAGACCAAAAAAAUAGUUUUGGGGAACAUGGGUUUGUUCCCACACUAGAUGAUGAUGAUGAUGAGGAGGCGGUCCAUGACACAUCGUGCCCCGUCUCUCUCUCUCUGUUUUUUGAUAUUGCUGUAUUUUGCAUGUCAAUAUAUCGAUGGGUGUUUUCAACACCGAGCUACUGAAGACGGAGAGCGGUCGGGUAUAGGGUGAUUAAAAAAAAAAAAAAAACUUCAACAAAAAAAAGGACUAGAUGUAUCUGUUGUUCAUUGUUUUCCUCGUGGUUCCCCUACAUCGGCUUAUUUAACCGGGUCCGACGCGGCGAGAGACGCAUGGAGACGUCCGGCCUGCUCUGGAUGACCUUUUAUUAUUUUUUAAAGAUGCCGGGAUUCCCCACCAACACGUAGCAGCUCAGAUCCGUGCGCCAUCAGAACAAUAGUUAACCCCCACGGCGUCAACGCGAGACUCUCUCUCCUUACGGACACCUGCUCUGCGUCUGGGCGAGCGACAUAUUGGAUCCUGGGUUCUUUAAACGCUUCAUUAAUAACUGCAGUGGCCGGGUUAUAAAGUUAUGCACUGUUAAAGCAUGCUUUCCUUUCCUUUGGUUUCUUUUGUUUCUUUUUCUUUUGGCUUUCUUUUCUUCCAUUGCAAGGGUGAUUUUGACCAUGUAAAGUAAUUUUUGUAAACUUGCAUCAAGUUUAUAAAUAAAGAAUUUUAUGAAAUAUCA